GACGAACGCUGGCGGCGUGCUUAACACAUGCAAGUCGAACGGAAAGGCCCCUUUGGGGGUACUCGAGUGGCGAACGGGCGAGUAACACGUGAGUAACCUGCCCUUGACUUCGGGAUAACUUCAGGAAACUGGGGCUAAUACCGGAUAGGAAUCCUUGCUGCAUGGUGGGGGUUGGAAAGCUUCGGCGGUUUUGGAUGGACUCGCGGCUUAUCAGCUUGUUGGUGGGGUAGUGGCUUACCAAGGCUUUGGCGGGUAGCCGGCCUGAGAGGGCGACCGGCCACAUUGGGACUGAGAUACGGCCCAGACUCCUACGGGAGGCAGCAGUGGGGAAUAUUGCACAAUGGGCGGAAGCCUGAUGCAGCAACGCCGCGUGCGGGAUGACGGCCUUCGGGUUGUAAACCGCUUUCAGCAGGGGCGAAGCUUGUGGUGACGGUACCUGCAGAAGAAGCACCGGCUAACUACGUG
rnacentral:rRNA from 1 species